rnacentral:rRNA from 1 species
AGAGUCACUCCUACGGGAGGCAGCAGUGGGGAAUCUUCCGCAAUGGGCGAAAGCCUGACGGAGCGACGCCGCGUGGGGGACGAAGGCCUUCGGGUCGUAAAGCUCUGUGGGGAGGGACGAACCGCCGGCGGUGCAUAGCCGACGGCAUGACGGUACCUCCUUAGCAAGCACCGGCUAACUUCGUGCCAGCAGCCGCGGUAAUACGAAGGGUGCAAACGUUGCUCGGAAUUACUGGGCGUAAAGCGCACGCAGGUGGCUGAGUCAGUCGAUUGUGAAAGCCCUGGGCUUAACCUGGGAAUUGCAGUCGAUACUACUCAGCUAGAGUAUGGGAGAGGGCAGUGGAAUUCCCGGUGUAGCGGUGAAAUGCGUAGAUAUCAGGAGGAACACCGGUGGCGAAGGCGGCUACCUGGACAGAAACUGACGCUGAGGCGCGAAAGCUAGGGGAGCAAACAGGAUUAGAUACCCUGGUAGUCCUAGCCCUAAACGAUGGAUACUUGGUGUGACUGGGAUUGAAUCCAGUCGUGCCGAAGCUAACGCAUUAAGUAUCCCGCCUGGGGAGUACGGUCGCAAGGCUGAAACUUAAAGGAAUUGACG